ACGGUGAAGAGGAGCUUGCUCCUCAGAACAGUGGCGGACGGGUGAGUAACACGUGAGCAACCUGGCUCUAAGAGGGGGACAACAGUUGGAAACGACUGCUAAUACCGCAUAACGUAUCGGGAUGGCAUCUUCCUGAUACCAAAGAUUUUAUCGCUUAGAGAUGGGCUCGCGUCUGAUUAGAUAGUUGGCGGGGUAACGGCCCACCAAGUCGACGAUCAGUAGCCGGACUGAGAGGUUGAACGGCCACAUUGGGACUGAGACACGGCCCAGACUCCUACGGGAGGCAGCAGUGGGGGAUAUUGGACAAUGGGGGCAACCCUGAUCCAGCGACGCCGCGUGAGGGAAGAAGGUUUUCGGAUUGUAAACCUCUGUUGACGGAGAAAAAAAUGAUGGUAUCCGUUUAGAAAGCCACGGCUAACUACGUGCCAGCAGCCGCGGUAAUACGUAGGUGGCAAGCGUUGUCCGGAAUUACUGGGUGUAAAGGGAGUGUAGGCGGGAUGUCAAGUCAGAAGUGAAAAUUACGGGCUCAACUCGUAACCUGCUUUU
rnacentral:rRNA from 1 species